CCGAGAAACACGUGGUUGUGUCUGAGGCAGUCACUGUUCACUGGACUCGCCUCCCUGCCAUCUUGGUCUGAGGUACUUCCAAGUCGGCUGUUGAUAUUUUCGUCUCUCAACAAACACUCCUCAUCUGGAGGCUAAGCAAUAACCUCUCGGAAAAAGGGUCAACUGGUUCGACGGAGAGGAAACCUAGGCUUACCUAGCAGUCCACACAUCGUGCAGUCUGCACCUGAUUCCGAAUCUCGCCUCGUCUUCUCACAAGACUUUCAGAACCAAGUGAUUCCUGGACCAAAAACAAGAGUAAAAUCGUCCUACUCCUCAUGGAUUCAGAUUAAAACUGGUAACAAAAUCAGGUACAACUCUAAGAGAAGACAGCAUAGGAGAACGAAGCUGGGUCUGUAAGGAUUCACACAGUGGCAAGACUGAAGGUUUAAACUGAAUUAUCAUCAUCAAUCAGUUCUACCAGAUGCAGUUUAACAUUUUUAACCUGGAGACUUGCUCAAGUCUAAAUUGGAGGUGUAGUUUGUCCAGUGAUAAAAUGUAGAACCUUUCAAAAAAAAAGUCUGAAAAUAGAUUUUCCACAUGACCAAUAUAUAGCACAAUUUAGUAUUUAUUCAAAAGACUCAAACCCCACAUGUCACAGAGAUGCUUGUACAUCAGUGCUUAUUGUAGCAGUAUUUACAAUAUCUAACUACGGAACCAACCCAGGUAAUGAACAACAGAAGAUGGAUAAGCAGAAUGCAGUAUCUAUUUAUAAUACUACUCUAAUAUAAUGCUACUAUAGUGUAAUGCUACUUUAAGAUGUAUAGUGGAAUCUUUUUUCCAUAAAGAAUGCAGUCAUGCCAUUUGCAGGUGAAUGGAUGAAACUGGGAAUAAUCACAUUAAAAGAAUUCCUUAGCAUCUGCCCAAAGGACUUGACAUCACAUUCCAUAGACACUUGCUCAGCCAUCUUCGUUGCUACCUUUCUAUUCAUAACACCUAAAAAAUGGAAACAACCUCAGUGAAAAAUGGAAUUUGUAAGUAAAUAAAGGAAGCUGAUAAGUAUUGUAAUAAGUGAGGUAACCCAGGCCCAGAAACAUAAAGGCAGCGUGUUUUCUCUUGUUCGUGGAUCCAAGCUUCCAGCCUUUGGAUUUGAGUAUAAAACUGGAAGUAUCCAAGGAAGCCAGGGAAAAGGGACCUUGAAGAAAGAGAGUAAAGGAAACCUAGAGAGGGCUGGUAGGAGACAGGCACUGUGCAGGGGUAAUGGGGAUAAAGAAGACCUUUAAAGGUGUGGGGAAGGGAGCUACAGAGGGAUAGAGAAGAAGAAACAAAUAACACUAAAGAUGUUUGAAAGCUAUAGAGAGACAUUAUUUUAGAAGCUUACUUAAAUACAUGUGUGUUCAUAUUCAUACAUGCACACAUAUGUGUGUGCAUAUUCAGACAUGCCUAUACAUAUACAUAAAUGCAUAUGUACAUACAUACAUAUAUGCAUACAUGGCACAUGGAGUUUUUGGUGCUCUCUGUAAGGCCCAGUCACUAAUCAAAAUCUCACUACCAGACAUGGGAAAUCUUCCUUUGAAUUGAAGGUUGGAAGAAUACAAGAGACUCCUAAAAUAGUAUUUCUUAACCAUUUGGGAGCCAAAUGACCUUUUCACAGGGGUUGGCCAAGACCAUC